rnacentral:rRNA from 1 species
UACGUAGGGGGCAAGCGUUGGUCCGGAUUUAUUGGGCGUAAAGAGCGUGUAGGCGGCCAGGUAGGUCUGCUGUGAAAACUCGAGGCUUAACCUCGAGCUGUCGGCGGAAACCAUCUGGCUAGAGUGCGGAAGAGGCGAGUGGAAUUCCUGGUGUAGCGGUGAAAUGCGCAGAUAUCAGGAGGAACACCUAUUGCGAAGGCAGCUCGCUGGGACGUAACUGACGCUGAGACGCGAAAGCGUGGGGAGCGAACAGG